AAAUAAGCAUAUCAAUAAGCGGAGGAAAAGAAACCAACAGGGAUUCCCUUAGUAACGGCGAGCGAAAAGGGAUGAGCCCAGCAUGUAAAUCUCCGGUUUCCGGCGAAUUGUAGUCUGGAGUAGCAACUCCUGGUGCCGUGCCGGCCCAAGCAUCUUGGAAUAGAUCGCCUCAGAGGGUGAGAGCCCCGUAGGUCGGUACGAGCUCCUACACGGAGUGCUCACGCAGAGUCGGGUUGUUUGGGAAUGCAGCCCCAAUUGGGUGGUAAACCCCAUCUAAGGCUAAAUACCUGUGGGAGACCGAUAGCAAAAAAGUACCUCGAGGGAACGAUGAAAAGACCGCUGGCAAGCGAGUGAAAGAGUGCAUGAAAUUGUAUAGUGGGAAGGGAUGGCCUGGCGUAUUGCCCGCGGGUAUACACUGCUCCUUGAGCUCUUGAAUACACCGUGGGCUGGCUGGUGCCGACACCUGCGCUUGCAAAUCCCCAAACUAAGGUGUUUGGCUCUUCAAGCGCGGGUGUUGAGGUUGAUCGUCGCUUUGUUUUAAACUGCGUCGACAAAGCACCAGCUGAAGCCUGUCCAUCUACCCGCGG
rnacentral:rRNA from 1 species